GGGGAGACCUAGCGUGUGUGGGUACUGCCAGGGGGCAGCACCCAGAGCAAGGGGCACUGGGGUCCUGGGAGGGACAUGGGAGCCUGAGGAAGAGGACAGGUGGAUCACUGGCCUGCAGAGGGCGCUCCAGAGGCUGGAAAGCUAAUUCCCUGGACGACCAGCAGGAGGCGCCGCAGGGGCUCUGCACAAGACCUUGGCAGAGAACCUGGAUAUAAUGCUGAGAAGCCUGCUGGCAGUGUCCCACAGUACUGAUAAGCUCCAGCACAUCUUAGAGGGGGACGGGCCUGGGCAUGAAGGGAAUUCUGCCUGAACCCAAUGGGGGCUACAAAGGAGAGACUGGAAGUUCCACGUUUCCAUGGUAUCCCUUAGCUGGGACCCCACGGAGCUACCUUGGCCAGGGCAGUCAGUGACAUGCAGCGUUAUCCUCCUCCUGCGGGGAACGGAGAGAUUAGGAGCUGGGCUGUCAAGGUUGGGUCUAUGUGAAGGGGAGUGCCUCCUUUUGGCUGGAUGUAGUAUAGCCAUUCACAGCGUAUCAGACAGAGUUGGGGCAUGAGAGCCUCAAAUCCCUGUGAGAUCCAGGGAAUGGUCCUGAGAGGAGAGUCAUUGGCUCCUCGCUGGGUCCUUGGGGAAUCAGCCCUUCUCUCCCAUGGACACUGAGACUCUGGAAGGAUUGUCCACACUGUUACUACCUCCAAGCACUUCAGAGCUGGGAGGGGGCCAGGGGUCUCUCUCUUUCCUGACAAGCUGUUCUUGAGUCAGGGGACCAGAGAGAGUGGCACCAGCCCCGAGAGUGAACAUUGUCCAAGUCUACAGACAAUGAUGAGCUGUGACCAGCAGGACACAGGCAGUGUCCUGGGUGCUGCAAACCCCUUGUAAAGCUCUAAGAUCAGUGAGUCCCCCCUGAACACAGUCUCAGCCCCGUGAGGACUCAUUUGUACAGAAUGUGCGCCUACCCUUUGACCAUGACCUGCCUCCUUCCUCCACAGCACAUUGGCUUCUGGGUAUGGUCCAGAGAUCCCCAGGAGAGUCAGGGCCAUGAGGACCAGCACCACCCUCCUGCGAUACACCAACCUACUCCCAGGAUUUGACAUAAGUGACCUUUGACCCCCAGGCUCUUGACCCCAGGUGUAGGCAGUGUUGGCUCCAACAGGCUAUGGGAUCUGCAGCUGCAGGGGCUGUGGGCUGGGCCGGACCCUGUGGGGAUGCAGUCAGAGCUGGGAAUCAGAUACACUUGAGACAAGCUCCUCUUCUUCUGGCUAAGUGGUGCCCCCUGGCUCUGUAGAGGACUGUGCUCCACCGAAGAGUACCCAGUAGUCACCUACUACAGGACAGGCCCGACAACAAAAGUAACAGAACUCCACUAGCCGUCACCUUCAGCCCCCAACUAAAACCUCUCCAGCACAUCAUCAACGAUCUACAACCUAUCCUGAAAGAUGAUCCCUCACUCUCACAGAUCUUCGGAGACAGACCAGUCCUCGCUUACAGACAGCCCCCCAAGCUGAAGCAAAUACUCACCAGCAACCAUACAACAAAAACACUAACCCAGGAACCUAUCCUUGCAACAAAGCCCGUUGCCAACUCUGUCCACAUAGCUAUUCAAGUGACACCAUCAUAGGAUCUAAUCACAUCAGCCACACAAUCAGGGGGUGGUUCACCUGCACAUCUACCAAUGUGAUAUAUGCCAUCAUGUGCCAGCAAUGCCCCUCUGCCAUGUACAUUGGCCAAACCGGACAGUCUCUACACACAAGAAUAAAUGGACACAAAUCUGACAUCAGGAAUCAUAACAUUCAAAAACCAGUGGGAGAACACUUCAACCUCUCUAAUCACUCAGUGACAGACUUGAAGGUGGCAAUUUUGCAACAAAAAAGCUUCAAAAACAGACUUCAAAGAGAGACAGCUGAACUUGAAUUAAUAUGCAAAUUAGAUACCAUUAACUUAGGUUUGGACGGAGACUGGGAAUGGUUGGGUCAUUACAUUAAUUGAAUCUAUUUCCCCAUGUUAAGUAUCCUCACACCUUCUAUGGGCCAUUUUGAUUAUCACUUCAAAAGUUUUUUUUCUCCUGCUGAUGAUAGCUCAUCUCAAUUGAUUGGUCUCUUACAGUUGGUAUGGCUACUUCCACCUUUUCAUGUUCUCUGUAUGUAUAAAUAUCUUUUUGCUGUAUGUUCCAUUCUAUGCAUCCGAUGAAGUGGGCUAUAGCCCACGAAAGCUUAUGCUCAAAUAAAUUUGUUAUUCUCUAA